rnacentral:rRNA from 1 species
AAGCGUGGAGUAUGUGGUUUAAUUCGACGCAACGCGCAGAACCUUACCUGGUCCUGACAUCCCACGAAUUCAUCUGAAAGGAUGGAGUGCCUUCGGGAGCGUGGAGACAGGUGGUGCAUGGUUGUCGUCAGCUCGUGUCGUGAGAUGUUGGGUUAAGUCCCGCAACGAGCGCAACCCUUGCUAUUAGUUGCUAACAGGUAGAGCUGAGCACUCUAAUGGGACUGCCGGUGACAAGCCGGAGAAGUGGGGAUGACGUCAAAUCAUCAUGCCCUUUAUGACCUGGGCUACACACGUACUACAAUGGCCGGUACAAAGGGCAGCGACACAGCGAUGUGAAGCGAAUCCCGAAAAGCCGGUCUCAGUCCGGAUUGGAGUCUGCAACUCGACUCCAUGAAGUUGGAAUCGCUAGUAAUCGCGGAUCAGCACGCCGCGGUGAAUACGUUCCCGGGCCUU